CCUGUGACAGUGGGGAGCACAGGACUCUUAAUCCACAUGGUGAGAUCUCCCCUGUGUGUGUGGUUGCAGCAGAGGAAGAGGGAGUAUGUUUAUUCUAACCAUUAAGCAGCCUGUUUUCAGCUUUGAAGCUUGAUCUCUAAAGGUGCAAGUUGUCUGAGUAAGAACCCUAUAAGAAGAGGAGGAAGAGGAAAGUAAAGGAUGGCUGUUUCUCAGAUUACUGUGUUGCUCUAGCUGUCUGUUUUCUUCCGGUCACUUCCUCUCAUGAUCUCUGCUCAGGCACCCUGUACAGUGGUGAAAGGCAGGAGCCCUGGCCAACUGCCUUCACUUCACUGGAACUUCAAAGGAAUGCAUUCGGAGUUUCCUUUUAAUCAUGACACUGUCACGGUUGACAUUGAAUGAUGUGGCCAUCCAAUUCUCUCCAGAAGAGUGGGAAUGCCUGGACCCUGCUCAGAGGGCCUUAUACGUGGAUGUGAUGUCAGAGACCUUCAGGAACCUGCUCUCUGUGGGUGAGGAUAACUUCCCUCUAAAAGUUGGGAAGGUGUCUGGAUUUACCCUUAUUUGCCUUUUGUAAUCCCCUGCCUUGCUUAACUGAGCUCAAAGCCGUGUUGACUCAGGCAUGAAAAGCUUCAUGAUGUAGCCUCAGGAAUUUAAACAUGCCCUUUUUUAGAUGGUCUGGCCUGGCCAUUUCAUAAUGCACCAGAAGUGUAGUGGAGAAUCCUAUUUAUUGUUCCUCAAAAAUUUAACAUAGUUGAGAAGUUUCAUAACUGUGUUUGAAGUAUUACUUUUAUUUAAUAUCUUAUAUUCAACCUGAAACUUAUAUUCAUGCAGUGUAAUGAAUAGGAUAUCUAUGACUCUUUAUAUCUUGUAGAUAUUUCUCAUAUACACAUCUGGAAAUUACAACUAAAAUCACACACUGAUAGAGGAGGAGUAUGCCAAACAGUGAUUUGGGGAAGAAAUGAAAUCCCGGAAAUCAAACAUUUUAAUC
rnacentral:lncRNA from 1 species